GGGGUUGUGGGUCAGUGGUAGAACACUUGCCUAGCACGUGCAAGGCCCUGGGUUCGAUCCUCAGCACCCCA
rnacentral:tRNA from 1 species